rnacentral:misc_RNA from 1 species
AAAACAAAACAAAACAAAACAAAAAGCCUCCAAAAUUCAGUAAAAUACAACUGCUAGCUGAAAGAACCCCAUCUGAGAAAACUAGCAUUAGCCCACACCUCAAUGAAAUACCAACUUUUGAUUUCAAAGAUCAACUGCAAUUACACCUAAACAUACCUUGAAAAUUUUCUUUCUUUCUCACCUUCUUAAGAAUCCAUAGUGAAUUACGGUCAAUAAUCGGGCAUAAGCUGGCUAUUCUUGCUUUCUUCAAGGGCCAUCUUCUGCUCGGUGAUCUUCAACCAAAUACAAACUCCAGUAAAACUGAGCACCAAACUGGCAAACCCACUUCCCAACCCGAUUCCAACAAUGGCUAAAACAGACAAACCUUUACUCUUCAUCGGAGGCAAAGGAUAGCCGUAAAGAUCCUUAUUUCCUUCAAAAGAAGUCGCAUUGAAUCGCGGCAAAUUCCCGCUCCUGUUCCCUAAUGGACCUGGUAUUGGUCCUGAAAGUUUAUUGUUGCUGACAUCAAAAGCCGAUAACCUUACUAAAAGACCCAACUGCUGUGGGAUUUGACCAGUAAGAAAAUUAUCAUGGAAAUCAAUCACAUUCAAAUAAGCACACAAUGCAAGCUGUGGAGGGAUCUCUCCCUCCAGUCUAUUGGACGAGAGAUUAAGCACUGCAAGAUUGACCAAGUAUUGUAAAUCUGCAGGUAUAAGACCAGACAGAGAGUUGGAGGAGAGGUCAAGGGACUGGAGGUUGGUGCAGUUGGAUAUGUAAGGAGAAAUAGAGCCUUGGAGAGAGAGGUUGGUAAGGGAGAGUUUGUAGAUUCGGCCAUUGUUGCAAGUAGCACCAGAGAGAUAGGAGUUAAAACCAGAACAUGGGUUUGCAAAAUUGGGUUUAGUCCAGUUUUGGAGUGAAUUUGUUGGGUCUUUUAAGGAGAGGCUUAGGUGCGUUAAGCAUGCUUCAUCGUUUGGAUCUGAUAUUGAGAGAGUAGCAAAGCUUAAGAUGGUAAGAAAGAGUAGAGACCAAACACCCAUUUAGAAAAUAGAGAUUUCAAUUCUUGCUUAGAUUUCUGUAUAUCUCAGGUUCAAGUCCAAAGGAGGAGAGACACACAGAGAGCUAAGAAGUGGGUGCUACUUCUUGUUUCAUUAAAAUAUAUAUUGGAAGCAAAAGCAACAAAAAAAGAAAGAAGUUGCAAGGGAGAAACUAAUUUUAUUUGUUCCUGUUCUUGUAUUGAAAAUUCAGACAUAGAAAGAAGCCCCAAGCAGGAGCUGGGUUUUAAAAGCUCGAAUUGAAUUCAAGUAAAGGAUUUUGGAGUGAAAGGAGAGGACAAAUAGGGGAAAGGGGAGAGGAGGGGGUGGGGGCC